rnacentral:tRNA from 1 species
GGUUGCGUAGCUCAGCCAGUAGAGCGCCGGUCUUAUAAGCCGCGAGGUCGCGGUUCCGAAUCCCGCCGCAACCA